UUUCCAGAGGAAGGCUCGUCCGCUCUGGGUUAGUCGGGUCCUAAGCUGAGGCCGACAGGCGUAGGCGAUGGAUAACAGGUUGAUAUUCCUGUACCACCUAUAAUCGUUUUAAUCGAUGGGGGGACGCAGUAGGAUAGGCGAAGCGUGCGAUUGGAUUGCACGUCUAAGCAGUAAGGCUGAGUAUUAGGCAAAUCCGGUACUCGUUAAGGCUGAGCUGUGAUGGGGAGAAGACAUUGUGUCUUCGAGUCGUUGAUUUCACACUGCCGAGAAAAGCCUCUAGAUAGAAAAUAGGUGCCCGUACCGCAAACCGACACAGGUAGUCAAGAUGAGAAUUCUAAGGUGAGCGAGCGAACUCUCGUUAAGGAACUCGGCAAAAUGACCCCGUAACUUCGGGAGAAGGGGUGCUCUUUAGGGUUAACGCCCAGAAGAGCCGCAGUGAAUAGGCCCAAGCGACUGUUUAUCAAAAACACAGGUCUCUGCUAAACCGUAAGGUGAUGUAUAGGGGCUGACGCCUGCCCGGUGCUGGAAGGUUAAGAGGAGUGGUUAGCUUCUGCGAAGCUACGAAUCGAAGCCCCAGUAAACGGCGGCCGUAACUAUAACGGUCCUAAGGUAGCGAAAUUCCUUGUCGGGUAAGUUCCGACCCGCACGAAAGGCGUAACGAUUUGGGCACUGUCUCAACGAGAGACUCGGUGAAAUCAUAGUACCUGUGAAGAUGCAGGUUACCCGCGACAGGACGGAAAGACCCCGUGGAGCUUUACUGUAGCCUGAUAUUGAAAUUCGGCACAGCUUGUACAGGAUAGGUAGGAGCCUUUGAAACGUGAGCGCUAGCUUACGUGGAGGCGCUGGUGGG
rnacentral:rRNA from 1 species